UUCAGGUGAUGGAGAGUGUGUAGCAGCACUUAAGGCACUGGGUUGCUUCCAGGCUUCUCACUGCUGGGAUGCUCCCAAAAGAGUGAGAUGGGGCUGAGACUGGAGACAAAAGAGUAAAGGAGCAGAAGUAAGAUGGGGAAAAUACAAAAGGAAUGUCCUGCCUGGCACCACAAAUUUAUAUUUAAAGGGAGAUUAUAAAGAAUAUGGACUGUGACUGAUUAAAGGGUUGGAUGGUGAUAGGAUAAAGAGCAAGGUUUCAAACUAGAAGAGGGGUGUAUAAGGUUAGAUGCUAGGAGGAAAUUCUUUAUUCAGUGUGAUGAGGCGCUGGCACAGGCUGCCCAGAGGAGCAGUGCAUGACCCAGCGCUGGAGGAGCUCAAGGACAAGACAGAUGGAGGCCUUCGGUUCUAUGGUUCCAAGGUUUAUUCUAUGAACUUUAAGGUCCCGUUCAAAUCAAACCGUUCUCUUUUAGGACUCUGUGAUAGACUGGGGGUGGUCAAGAGGUUGGGAGGAGACAGAGCAAGGAGGACAGCUGACCUAAAACGAGACCAAAGGGACACUGCAUGCAGAAUGAGGGCAUGAUCAGCAAGAGGAGAUGGGGCAAAGAGGGAGAAGGGAGAAGAAUCCUCCCCUCAAGAAACAGGAAACACGGACCAUGUUGAGAUGUCUGACGUCCCCAAAUAAAAGCAGUGGCUCUGCAGACGCAACAGAUGCACCAUGGGCUGCAUCACAGCCUUUCACUGUGGGUAACUCUCUGUCAGCUGUAGAAACACCACAGGACAGGUGCUAGGGUUGCAGCGCAAGCAAUCUGACCAUCUGUAUCCAGCUCACAUCAAAGCAGGUGUCAUGAGGAGAGAUCUCCAAAAGAUGUGGGGGCAAGCGGGAUGGUCCAUGCCAAGUCCUUCUGUUCCUGCCCUCCUGCUGCUGGUGGUCGGUACUGGUGUGAACACCUGGGACAUCUGUAGCUCCAGGACUGAUGGUACUCUCCAGGCUCCAGUCCUGGUCCUUAGCACUUCCAGAGCUCAGGAAGGAGAAGUCGUCCUGGCUCAUUGUUUCCUUCGGAAGAUAAUACCUGCUACCCGGAUAGUCUUCUGCAAGGAUGGGAUGGAGCUGUACAACAUGAAAGCCCAAGAGGACGUGGUCAUCUACUCCAUGCUGCUGAACAUCUCUGCAAGAAGCAGUGGGACAUACGCGUGUGGGUACCAGCAGAGGAACGAGAGCAAUUGGCUAAGGAGCUCUCCCCUUAGCACUCCCUUGGACCUACAUGUCGCAGGCCAUCUGUCCAUCUCCACAGCAGGUGGAGCACCCACAGUACCCUGCAUUCUGCCUUAUUCCACAGUCAUUGCGGUGACAUCACUAGCUUUCACCCUCCUGCUGUCUGCAGCCACCUUUUGGACCAUCAAGAAAGGUACCUGCAGAGAGGGAUGCCAAAGGCAGCAGCACAUUCCCAGCCAGCAGAUGGAAGCCACCAACUAUGGAGAAAUCCAGUAUGCCACCGUUGUCCACUUUCAAAGGGACAAGAAAAACAGCAAAUCAUGAGAUGCAUUUUCUAGCCACAAAUCACACUCUCCUCUCUGACCUCUGCAAAUAUCUCCCCUUAUUGCUGCUACCAAAAUUGUGUGGUUUCUCCUCAGAAGCUCCAAAAAUUGUUCCAUCCGAAGAGCUGAACAUAUUUGAGUGUUUUAAAAAGAGUAUGGAGGGGGAAAACCUCACCAACAAUUAUGAAGAGGAAAGAGGCCAUCUAGCAAGCAAGUGCUCCCCCAUAUCUGCUCUUAUUUAUGCUAAUUGUCUCCUGCCUGCUUCUCUAGUGUUCAUGUAUCCUUCCAGGGCACUUGGAGCCUUCUCGUGCAGGGCUUGCAGGCUGUAGCUGUAAUAACAGGGCUUUCCUUUCCCCUCCAGCCUCCCGUGAAGCAGAUGACCAACAAGAGUCCAAUUGGCUGCAGCAUGCCAAGGGCACUGGGAUUGGGUCACAAACAAUGUGUUUUCUUGCAGAGGGCUCUUGGGGCAGAACAUGGGGCUCUUUGGGUUUAUGGGUUUUGCUCUCCUGUUACAUCUAGCCAAUAAGAUGUAUGACUUGCUUAUGUAUGG
ensembl:lncRNA